CUGGCGGCGCGCCUAACACAUGCAAGUCGAACGAGAGAUGAAGAGCUUGCUCUUCAAAUCGAGUGGCGAACGGGUGAGUAACGCGUGAGGAACCUGCCUCAAAGAGGGGGACAACAGUUGGAAACGACUGCUAAUACCGCAUAAGCCCACGGCUCGGCAUCGAGCAGAGGGAAAAGGAGUGAUCCGCUUUGAGAUGGCCUCGCGUCCGAUUAGCUAGUUGGUGAGGUAACGGCCCACCAAGGCGACGAUCGGUAGCCGGACUGAGAGGUUGAACGGCCACAUUGGGGCUGAGACACGGCCCAGACUCCUACGGGAGGCAGCAGUGGGGAAUAUUGCACAAUGGGGGAAACCCUGAUGCAGCGACGCCGCGUGGAGGAAGAAGGUCUUCGGAUUGUAAACUCCUGUUGUUGAGGAAGAUAAUGACGGUACUCAACAAGGAAGUGACGGCUAACUACGUG
rnacentral:rRNA from 1 species